ensembl:snRNA U6 U6 spliceosomal RNA
GUGCUUGCUUCAGCAGCACAUAUACUAAAAUUGGAACAGUACAGAGAAGAUUAGCAUGGCCCCUGCACAAGGAUGACACGCAAAUUCGUGAAGCGUUCCGAACUUUU